rnacentral:rRNA from 1 species
AGAGUAAAAUAGUACGUGAAAUUGUUGAAAGGGAAACGAUUGAAGCCAGUCGUACUGACGGGUAAUCAACCUUUCGGGUGCGAUUCUGUGGGUUUUGGGGAGCUUCACGGCCCUCAUGGUCUGCAUAUUUGUGCCAUUUGGGUGUACUUACCUGGUAGUAGGUUAACAUCAAUUUCGGACGUCAUAAAAUGAUGGGAGGAAUGUAGCUUCGGUUUCGUACUGAAGUGUUAUAGCCUCUUGUAGAUGUGAUGAUCGGGAUUGAGGAUUGCAACGGAUACCCUUUGGGCUACCCGCCUGAUCUCUGAUGGUUGCUAUGGUGCCGAAAGCUUGCUUACGGUUAUCAGAGUUUUGAUUGUCAAAAGGUUAGAACGGGUUAAAUUCGUUAAGGAUGUUGACGUAAUGGCUUUAAACGACC